rnacentral:rRNA from 1 species
UACGGAGGGUGCAAACGUUGUCCGGAAUCAUUGGGCGUAAAGCGCGCGUAGGCGGCCCGGUAAGUCCGUUGUGAAAGUCAAAGGCUCAACCUUUGAACGCCGAUGGAUACUGCCGGGCUAGAGUCCGGAAGAGGCGAGUGGAAUUCCUGGUGUAGCGGUGGAAUGCGCAGAUAUCAGGAGGAACACCAAUAGCGAAGGCAGCUCGCUGGGACGGUACUGACGCUGAGGCGCGAAAGCGUGGGGAGCGAACAGG